UACAGAGGUCUCAAGCGUUGUUCGGAUUACAUUGGGCGUAAAGAGCUCGUAGGCGGCUCAGAUAAGUCAGGUGUGAAACCUCCAGGCUCAACCUGGAGACGCCACCUGGAUACUGCUGUGGCUAGAGUCCGGUAGGGGACGUGGAAUUCCUGGAUGUAGCGGUGAAAUGCGUAGAUAUCAGGAGGAACACCUGCGGUGUAGACGGCUUUACUGGACCAUAAACUGACGCUGAGGCACGAAAAGCCGUGGGUAGCAAACAGG
rnacentral:rRNA from 1 species